rnacentral:rRNA from 1 species
AAUGUCAGUUUAAGUAGCAUAAAUAUUAGUAAAAUCUAAUACUCCGAAAGCUAAAAGGUCUCCUACGAAAGGAUAUACCACGUAGGGAAAGUCGGGGCCUAAGAUUAGAUUGUAUAUAUAAUCGAUGGGUAAUAGGUUAAAAUUCCUAUACCAUAAUAUAUCUAAAAACAAAUAGUGACCUAUAAUAUUUAUUAUAUUUUAAGAUAUAGUUACUUAAUGUACUAAUUUUUUAUAGCUUGAAAAAUGUAUAUGUUAUAAAUAUAUUAUGCCCGUACUAAAUCUGACACAAGUAAGUAUGUAUUAAUGUACUAAGGAGUACGAAAUAACUUUCUCUAAGGAACUCGGCAAAAUGAUCCUGUAACUUCGGGAUAAAGGAUGCCCAAAGGGCUGCAAUGAAAAGGUCCAAGCGACUGUUUAUCAAAAACACAAGUUCCCGCUAAGUUUAAUCACGAUGUAAGGGGGCUGACACCUGCCCAGUGCUGGUAAGUUAAAUAAAAUAUUUUUUCUAAAAGUAUUUUUAUAAGCUCCAGUAAACGGCGGCUGUAACUAUAACGGUCCAAAGGUAGCGAAAUUCCUUGUCGGGUAAGUUCCGACCUGCACGAAAGGUGUAACGACUUGGACGCUGUCUUAGAGAAAGAUUCGGUGAAAUAGAAAUGUCUGUGAAGAUACGGACUAUCUGCACCUGGACAGAAAGACCCUAUGAAGCUUUACUAUAUUUUGAAAUUAAAAAUAAAAUAUAUUUGCGUAGAAUAAGUGGGAAACUAAUUAGUUUAUCUUGAAAUACCACUCUUAUAUAUUAUAUUUUUUUAUUAUAAUAUUGUUAACCAAUUAUAAGAAAAUUUUAAAAAGGUAGUUUGACUGGGGCGGUAGCCUCCUAAAGAGCAACGGAGGUGUACAAAGGUCUUUUUUUUAAUUUAAAAUUUAUUUUUAAAAUAAAACUAUAAAGGGAAAAUAAGGCU